rnacentral:ncRNA from 1 species
GAAGAACUCUAAGCAUGUCGCCCGAGAGUGGGAACCGAUUUCGGGAUAACGACAUGCAUAAAAACAAACACUUAGAGCGCGCCGGCGAAUCUGAAAGAUCGCGACGCGCUCUAAGCAUGCGUAAAGCGAGGCCUUUCAGGCGCAACGCGCUUUAAGUC